UACGAAGGGGGCUAGCGUUGCUCGGAAUCACUGGGCGUAAAGCGCACGUAGGCGGCUUCUUAAGUCAGAGGUGAAAUCCUGGAGCUCAACUCCAGAACUGCCUUUGAUACUGGGGAGCUCGAGUCCGGGAGAGGUGAGUGGAACUGCGAGUGUAGCGGUGAAAUGCGUAGAUAUCUGGAGGAACACCGGUGGCGAAGGCGGCAUCCUGGACCAAUAUUGACGCUGAGGAGCGAAAGCCAGGGGAGCAAACGGG
rnacentral:rRNA from 1 species